rnacentral:sRNA from 1 species
GCCGGGCGUUGUGGCGGGCGCCUGUGGUCCCAGCUACUUGGGAGGCGAAGGCAGGAGACUCGCUUGAGCCCAGGAGUUGGAGGUUGCUGUGAGCUGUAAUGCCACGGCACUCUACCCAGGGGGACAGCUUGAGGCUCUGUCUCAAAAAAAAAAAAAAAAAAAAAAGUACUGUGGUGUUACAGCUCACAGCAACCUCAAACUCUUGGGCUUAAGCAAUUCUCUUGCC